GGAGCUAGAUGAGCCUGU
rnacentral:siRNA from 1 species